UCGAAGCGCCGAUCUCAGAUAUCGAAGAGGCGCCAGUCUUUUUCAGCCUCGUCAGCACCUAUCACAUGCACACUCAGCUUUGCGAAAAUCACGGAUAAUUUGUCGAAGCGCCGAUCUCAGAUAUCGAAGAGGCGCCAGUCUUUUUCAGCCUCGUCAGCACCUGUCACAUGCACACUUAGCUUUGCGGAAAUUACGGGCAAUUUGUCGAAGAUUUCUGAUGAAGAAGAAAGCGCGUGGAGCCAUACUGAUCAAUCACUC
rnacentral:lncRNA from 1 species